rnacentral:rRNA from 1 species
UGGGGAAUUUUGGACAAUGGGCGAAAGCCUGAUCCAGCAAUGCCGCGUGUGUGAAGAAGGCCUUCGGGUUGUAAAGCACUUUUGUCCGGAAAGAAAUCCUUGGCUCUAAUACAGUCGGGGGAUGACGGUACCGGAAGAAUAAGCACCGGCUAACUACGUGCCAGCAGCCGCGGUAAUACGUAGGGUGCAAGCGUUAAUCGGAAUUACUGGGCGUAAAGCGUGCGCAGGCGGUUUGCUAAGACCGAUGUGAAAUCCCCGGGCUCAACCUGGGAACUGCAUUGGUGACUGGCAGGCUAGAGUAUGGCAGAGGGGGGUAGAAUUCCGCGUGUAGCAGUGAAAUGCGUAGAGAUGUGGAGGAAUACCGAUGGCGAAGGCAGCCCCCCUGGGCCAAUACUGACGCUCAUGCACGAAAGCGUGGGGAGCAAACAGGAUUAGAUACCCUGGUAGUCCACGCCCUAAACGAUGUCAACUAGUUGUUGGGGAUUCAUUUCCUUAGUAACGUAGCUAACGCGUGAAGUUGACCGCCUGGGGGAGUACGGUCGCAAGAUUAAAACUUAAAUGAAUUGACGGGGUCAUAGCUGUUUCCU